AUUGCUUCUUGGCCUUUUGGCUAAGAUCAAGUGUAGAAUCCAUUGCCAAAUCCAUGGUCAUGAAGGUGUGAAGCUGCACUCCCACGUUUUACUCUAAGAGUUUUAUUAUUUUUCACCAUUACUAUUAGGUCUUUAGUACAUCUGAAUUCAUGUAUAUAUACAUAUAUUUAUAUAAAUAUUUAUAUAUAUGUAUAUACAUA
rfam:Oryctolagus cuniculus chromosome 2, whole genome shotgun sequence.